UACAGAGGUCUCAAGCGUUGUUCGGAGUUACUGGGCGUAAAGGGUGUGUAGGCGGUUCUUUUAAGUUUGGUGUGAAAUCUCCCGGCUCAACUGGGAGGGUGCGCCGAAUACUGAGGGACUAGAGUACGGGAGAGGAAAGUGGAAUUCCUGGUGUAGCGGUGAAAUGCGUAGAUAUCAGGAGGAACACCGGUGGUGUAGACGGCUUUCUGGACCGUAACUGACGCUGAGACACGAAAGCGUGGGUAGCAAACAGG
rnacentral:rRNA from 1 species